rnacentral:rRNA from 1 species
GACGAACGCUGGCGGCGUGCUUAACACAUGCAAGUCGAACGGUGAAAGCGGAGCUUGCUCCGCUGGAUCAGUGGCGAACGGGUGAGUAACACGUGGGCAACCUGCCCCUCACUUCGGGAUAACUCCGGGAAACCGGGGCUAAUACCGGAUAUGACCUCCUUGGGCAUCCUUGGAGGUGGAAAGUUUUUCGGUGAGGGAUGGGCGCGCGGCCUAUCAGCUUGUUGGUGAGGUAGUGGCUCACCAAGGCGACGACGGGUAGCCGGCCUGAGAGGGCGACCGGCCAGAGGGAAACUGAGACACGGUUCCCACUCCUACGGGAGGCAGCAGUAAAGAAUCUUCCGCAAUGGACGAAAGUCUGACGGAGCGACGCCGCGUGCAGGAUGAAGGCCUUCGGGUUGUAAACUGCUUUUCUGAAAGAAUAAUUCUGAAGGUAUUUCAGGAAUAAGUACCGGCAAACCUCGUGCCAGCCGCCGCCGUAA